GUAAACGAUGUCGACUUGGAGGUUGUGCCCUUGAGGCGUGGCUUCCGGAGCUAACGCGUUAAGUCGACCGCCUGGGGAGUACGGCCGCAAGGUUAAAACUCAAAUGAAUUGACGGGGGCCCGCACAAGCGGUGGAGCAUGUGGUUUAAUUCGAUGCAGCGCGAAGAACCUUACCUGGUCUUGACAUCCACGGAAGUUUUCAGAGAUGAGAAUGUGCCUUCGGGAACCGUGAGACAGGUGCUGCAUGGCUGUCGUCAGCUCGUGUUGUGAAAUGUUGGGUUAAGUCCCGCAACGAGCGCAACCCUUAUCCUUUGUUGCCAGCGGUCCGGCCGGGAACUCAAAGGAGACUGCCAGUGAUAAACUGGAGGAAGGUGGGGAUGACGUCAAGUCAUCAUGGCCCUUACGACCAGGGCUACACACGUGCUACAAUGGCGCAUACAAAGAGAAGCGACCUCGCGAGAGCAAGCGGACCUCAUAAAGUGCGUCGUAGUCCGGAUUGGAGUCUGCAACUCGACUCCAUGAAGUCGGAAUCGCUAGUAAUCGUGGAUCAGAAUGCCACGG
rnacentral:rRNA from 1 species